AAUUCGAAGCAACGCGAAGAACCUUACCAGGUCUUGACAUCCCGAUGCUAUUCUAGAGAUGAAAGUUACUUCGGUACAUCGGUGACAGGUGGUGCAUGGGUUGUCGUCAGCUCGUGUCGUGAGAUGUUGAGUUAAGUCCCGCAACGAGCGCAACCCCUACGUUUAGUUGCUAACGCGUGAAGGCGAGCACUCUAGACGAACUGCCGUUGGACAAAACGGAGGAAGGUGGGAUGACGUCAAAUCAUCAUGCCCCUUAUGUUCUGGGCUACACACGUGCUACAAUGGCCGGUACAGACGGACGCAAAGCCGCGAGGUGGAGCAAAUCCUAAAAAGCCGGUCUCAGUUCGGAUUGCAGGCUGCAAUUCGCCUGCAUGAAGUCGGAAUCGCUAGUAAUCGCAGGUCAGCAUACUGCGGUGAAUACGUUCCCGGGCCUU
rnacentral:rRNA from 1 species